UCUGCCUUUGUGUGCUUUCUCUCUCUCCUGCUUCCAAGUCAAGAUGUGCUGGCUUCUCCUUUGCCCUUCUGUCAUUAUUGUAAGUUUCAUGAGGCCUCGGAGCCACGCUUCCUGUAUAGCCUGCAGAACUGUGAUCAUUCCACUCUUCUGCUAAUGUCAUGUUCUGGUUCAGGGAGUCCUCCAGGGAUGGCCAUACCUUUCUCUCCAAGAGCUUUGGCGAACUCUACUCCAAUCUGAACAGGUUACUCAAUGUGAAGAUGACAACAAGGGUGAAGACUUUAAUGAUGAUCCACUUCCACUUAAAAAAUAAUAAAUAUAUUUUCUCCUCCUU
rnacentral:lncRNA from 1 species